GACGAACGCUGGCGGCGUGCCUAAUACAUGCAAGUAGAACGCUGAAGGAGGAGCUUGCUUCUCUGGAUGAGUUGCGAACGGGUGAGUAACGCGUAGGUAACCUGCCUGGUAGCGGGGGAUAACUAUUGGAAACGAUAGCUAAUACCGCAUAAUAGCAGUUGUUGCAUGACAACUGUUUGAAAGGUGCAAUUGCACCACUACCAGAUGGACCUGCGUUGUAUUAGCUAGUUGGUGGGGUAACGGCUCACCAAGGCGACGAUACAUAGCCGACCUGAGAGGGGGGUCGGCCACACUGGGACUGGGACACGGCCCAGGCUCCUACGGGAGGCAGCAGUAGGGAAUCUUCGGCAAUGGACUGAAGACUGACCGAGCAACGCCGCGUGAGUGAAGAAGGUUUUCGGCGCGUAAAGCUCUGUUGUAAGGGAAGAACGAGUGUGAGAGUGGAAAGUUCACACUGUGACGGUAUCUUACCAGAAAGGGACGGCUAACUACGUG
rnacentral:rRNA from 1 species